rnacentral:rRNA from 1 species
CACGUAGGGGGCGAGCGUUGUCCGGAUUUAUUGGGCGUAAAGAGCUCGUAGGCGGUUUGGCAAGUCGGGUGUGAAAUUUCGAGGCUCAACCUCGAAACGCCACUCGAUACUGCCAUGACUGGAGUCCGGUAGAGGAGUGCGGAAUUCCUGGUGUAGCGGUGAAAUGCGCAGAUAUCAGGAGGAACACCAACGGCGAAGGCAGCACUCUGGGCCGGUACUGACGCUGAGGAGCGAAAGCGUGGGGA